UACGUAGGGUGCGAGCGUUGUCCGGAAUUACUGGGCGUAAAGAGCUCGUAGGCGGUUUGUCGCGUCGGCCGUGAAAUCUCCACGCUUAACGUGGAGCGUGCGGUCGAUACGGGCAGACUUGAGUUCGGUAGGGGAGACUGGAAUUCCUGGUGUAGCGGUGAAAUGCGCAGAUAUCAGGAGGAACACCGGUGGCGAAGGCGGGACUCUGGGCCGAUACUGACGCUGAGGAGCGAAAGCGUGGGGAGC
rnacentral:rRNA from 1 species